rnacentral:rRNA from 1 species
GUGGGGAAUUUUGGACAAUGGGCGCAAGCCUGAUCCAGCAAUGCCGCGUGCAGGAAGAAGGCCUUCGGGUUGUAAACUGCUUUUGUACGGAACGAAACGGUCCGGGUUAAUACCCUGGGCUAAUGACGGUACCGUAAGAAUAAGCACCGGCUAACUACGUGCCAGCAGCCACGGUAAUACGUAGGGUGCAAGCGUUAAUCGGAAUUACUGGGCGUAAAGCGUGCGCAGGCGGUUUUGUAAGACAGGCGUGAAAUCCCCGGGCUCAACCGGGGAAUUGCGCUUGUGACUGCAAGGCUGGAGUGCGGCAGAGGGGGAUGGAAUUCCGCGUGUAGCAGUGAAAUGCGUAGAUAUGCGGAGGAACACCGAUGGCGAAGGCAAUCCCCUGGGCCUGCACUGACGCUCAUGCACGAAAGCGUGGGGAGCAAACAGGAUUAGAAACCCGGGUAGUCC